GCAUAUCAUAAGCGGAGGAAAAGAAACCAACAGGAUUGCCUUAGUAACGGCGAGUGAAGCGGCAACAGCUCAAAUUUGAAAUCUGGCUCCUUCGGGGUCCGAGUUGUAAUUUGCAGAGGAUGCUUCGAGUUAUGGUUCCUUCCGAGUUCCCUGGAACGGGACGCCAUAGAGGGUGAGAGCCCCGUCUGGUAGGAAACCAUGCUCAUGUGAAGCUCCCUCGACGAGUCGAGUAGUUUGGGAAUGCUGCUCUAAGGGGAGGUAUACUCCUUCCAAGGCUAAAUACCGGCUAGAGACCGAUAGCGCACAAGUAGAGUGAUCGAAAGAUGAAAAGUACUUUGAAAAGAGAGUCAAACAGCACGUGAAAUUGUUAAAAGGGAAGCGCUCGCUACCAGACGUGGGUUCGGUGGUUCAACCAGGUCCAUGACCUGGGGCACUCCGCCGGCCCAGGCCAGCAUCAGCUUUCCGUCGGGGGCAAAGGCGUCGGGAAUGUGGCUCUCCUUCGGGGGAGUGUUAUAGCCCGUCGCGUCAUACCCUUCGGGGGGCUGAGGUACGCGCUCCGCAAGGAUGCUGGCGUAAUGGUAGCUAGUGACCCGUCUUGAAACACGGACCAAGGAGUCAACCUUAUGUGCGAGUGCCCGGGCGUAAAACCCCAGCGCGGAAUGAAAGUGAACGUAGGUGAGAGCUUCGGCGCAUCACCGACCGAUCCUGAUGUCCUCGGACGGAUUUGAGUGAGAGCAUAUAGGGUUGGACCCGAAAGAAGAUGAACUAUGCGUGUGUAGGGUGAAGCCAGAGGAAACUCUGGUGGAGGCUCGCAGCGGUUCUGACGUGCAAAUCGAUCGUCAAACAUGCGCAUGGGGGCGAAAGACUAAUCGAAUCUUCUGGUAGCUGGUUUCCGCCGAA
rnacentral:rRNA from 1 species